UCCCUGGUGGCUCAGCGGUAAAGAAUCUGCUUGCAGUGCAGGAGACCUGGGUUCAAUCCCUGGGUUGGGAA
rnacentral:tRNA from 1 species